UACGUAGGUGGCAAGCGUUGUCCGGAUUUACUGGGCGUAAAGAGCGCGCAGGCGGUCGUUCAAGUCGCGUGUGAAAGCCCCCGGCUCAACUGGGGAGGGUCACGCGAUACUGAUCGACUGGAAGGCAGGAGAGGGUAGUGGAAUUCCCGGUGUAGUGGUGAUAUGCGUAGAUAUCGGGAGGAACACCUGUGGCGAAGGCGGCUUUCUGGGCCUUACCUGACGCUGAGACGCGAAAGCGUGGGGAGCGAACCGG
rnacentral:rRNA from 1 species